AUUGAACGCUGGCGGCAAGCCUAACACAUGCAAGUCGAACGAGUUGCGGACGGGUACGUAAUGUCUGGGAAACUGCCUGAUGGAGGGGGAUAACUACUGGAAACGGUAGCUAAUACCGCAUACCAACGGAUGUGACCAGAUGGGAUUAGCUAGUAGGUGGGGUAAAGGCUCACCUAGGCGACGAUCACUAGCUGGUCUGAGAGGAUGAACAGCCACACUGGAACUGCGACACGGGCCAGACUCCUACGGGAGGCAGCAGUGGGGAAUAUUGCACAAUGGGCGCAAGCCUGAUGCAGCCAUGCCGCGUGUAUGAAGAAGGCCUUCGGGUUGUAAAGUACUUUCAGCGGGGAGGCGUUACCCGCAGAAGAAGCACCGGCUAACUCCGUGCCAGCAGCCGCGGUAAUAC
rnacentral:rRNA from 1 species